rnacentral:rRNA from 1 species
UACGUAGGGUGCAAGCGUUAAUCGGAAUUACUGGGCGUAAAGCGUGCGCAGGCGGCUCUGCAAGACAGAUGUGAAAUCCCCGGGCUCAACCUGGGAACUGCAUUUGUGACUGCAGGGCUAGAGUACGGUAGAGGGGGAUGGAAUUCCGCGUGUAGCAGUGAAAUGCGUAGAUAUGCGGAGGAACACCGAUGGCGAAGGCAAUCCCCUGGACCUGUACUGACGCUCAUGCACGAAAGCGUGGGGAGCAAACAGG